AUGAAGAGAGCUAUCCGUCGACAGUAUUGCCAGUAAACACUGUCAUGGAGUUGCUCUCUUUAU
rnacentral:pre_miRNA from 1 species